UUCGGUGGGGAUUAGUGGCGAACGGGUGAGUAACACGUGGGCAAUCUGCCCUUCACUCUGGGACAAGCCCUGGAAACGGGGUCUAAUACCGGAUACUGACCCUCGCAGGCAUCUGCGAGGUUCGAAAGCUCCGGCGGUGAAGGAUGAGCCCGCGGCCUAUCAGCUUGUUGGUGAGGUAAUGGCUCACCAAGGCGACGACGGGUAGCCGGCCUGAGAGGGCGACCGGCCACACUGGGACUGAGACACGGCCCAGACUCCUACGGGAGGCAGCAGUGGGGAAUAUUGCACAAUGGGCGAAAGCCUGAUGCAGCGACGCCGCGUGAGGGAUGACGGCCUUCGGGUUGUAAACCUCUUUCAGCAGGGAAGAAGCGAAAGUGACGGUACCUGCAUAAGAAGCGCCGGCUAACUACGUGCCAACAGCCGCGGUAAUACGUAGGGCGCAAGCGUUGUCCGGAAUUAUUGGGCGUAAAGAGCUCGUAGGCGGCUUGUCACGUCGGUUGUGAAAGCCCGGGGCUUAACCCCGGGUCUGCAGUCGAUACGGGCAGGCUAGAGUUCGGUAGGGGAGAUCGGAAUUCCUGGUGUAGCGGUGAAAUGCGCAGAUAUCAUGAGGAACACCGGUGGCGAAAGCGGAUCUCUGGGCCGAUACUGACGCUGAGGAGCGUAAGCGUGGAGAGCGAACAAGAUUAGAUACCCUGG
rnacentral:rRNA from 1 species